rnacentral:rRNA from 1 species
UCAAGAAACUUCCACAAUGGGCGAAAGCCUGAUGGAGCGACGUCGCGUGAUGGACGAAGUGCUUCGGCACGUAAACAUCUUUUUAUGUGGGAUGAAAUUAUUGACAGUACCACAUGAAUAAGGGGCUCCUAACUCUGUGCCAGCGGGAGCGGUAAUACAGAGGCCCCAAGCGUUAUCCGGAAUCACUGGGCGUAAAGGGUGUCGAGGCGGUUGUAUUAGUCGUUCGUAAAAUCUACGAGCUUAACUUGUAGGCGGCGAACGAAACGGUACGACUUGAGGUUUGGAGAGGUGCGUGGAACUCACGAUGUAGGGGUGAAAUCCGUUGAUAUCGUGGGGAACACCAAAGGCGAAGGCAGCGCACUGGCCAAAAUCUGACGCUCACACACGAAAGCUAGGGUAGCGAAGAGGAUUAGAUACCCAGGUAGUCCCUGAGCGGGCUGGCAAGGCGCAU